rnacentral:rRNA from 1 species
AUUGAACGCUGGCGGCAUGCCUUACACAUGCAAGUCGAACGGCAGCACGGGAGCAAUCCUGGUGGCGAGUGGCGAACGGGUGAGUAAUAUAUCGGAACGUGCCCAGUCGUGGGGGAUAACGUAGCGAAAGCUACGCUAAUACCGCAUACGAUCUAUGGAUGAAAGCGGGGGAUCGCAAGACCUCGCGCGAUUGGAGCGGCCGAUAUCAGAUUAGGUAGUUGGUGAGGUAAAGGCUCACCAAGCCGACGAUCUGUAGCUGGUCUGAGAGGACGACCAGCCCAACGGGGGCGUAGAAACGGCCCAGACUCCUACGGGAGGCAGCAGGGGGGAAUUUUGGACAAGGGGCGCAAGCCUGAUCCAGCAAUGCCGCGUGCAGGAUGAAGGCCUUCGGGUUGUAAACUGCUUUUGUACGGAGCGAAAAGGCUUCCACUAAUACUGGGGGCUCAUGACGGUACCGUAAGAAUAAGCACCGGCUAACUACGUGCCAGCCGCCGCCGUAAAAC